rnacentral:rRNA from 1 species
AGCGAACGCUGGCGGCAGGCUUAACACAUGCAAGUCGAACGGGCAUAGCAAUAUGUCAGUGGCAGACGGGUGAGUAACGCGUGGGAACGUACCUUUUGGUUCGGAACAACACAGGGAAACUUGUGCUAAUACCGGAUAAGCCCUUACGGGGAAAGAUUUAUCGCCGAAAGAUCGGCCCGCGUCUGAUUAGCUAGUUGGUAGGGUAAUGGCCUACCAAGGCGACGAUCAGUAGCUGGUCUGAGAGGAUGAUCAGCCACAUUGGGACUGAGACACGGCCCAAACUCCUACGGGAGGCAGCAGUGGGGAAUAUUGGGCAAUGGGCGAAAGCCUGAUCCAGCCAUGCCGCGUGAGUGAUGAAGGCACUAGGGUUGUAAAGCUCUUUUGUGCGGGAAGAUAAUGACGGUACCGCAAGAAUAAGCCCCGGCUAACUUCGUG